GGAUUCAUAAUACGGUGGACCCACAAUGGACUGGAAGCAUCCCUUUCAAAGCAUCAUUUCAGGAUGAGUAUUGUCAAUUGGAUUCAAGGAACAAUGCGAAGGAUCCAUAGCCUCAGUCACCAUGAAGAGCCUCCGAAGAGCCAACUGUCCUGGGCACAUAUAAGUGAGUGGAGACAUGGAACUCACCCUUACAAGGCCUAGAACCUGACAGAUCAUACAAGACAGAAGCCCAAAUAACUAAGAACAGGAAGCUGAGGGUGAGAGGUGGGCCCCAAAGGAUUCUGUGAAAAUGCUUUGCGUUUGUGGAUUUAUCACGCAGAAUGAAACUUUUGUUUUUAUUCACAGGUUAGACACACACUAUAGAAUCUAUGAAGGGACAUUUCUGAGUUUUUUGAGGCCUAUAGUGAAAAAUGGGUUAUCUCGGGCAGGUCAGGAUAAAUAAUGCAGUCACCAAAGGGGCACGGUGGCCCAGGUGGCCAGCAGCAGGGAUGGGCAUUGUGAGCCAUUGGAUGGGGUUUUGGGAAGUGGCAUUGUGAGUCACUGGCCUGACUUUGUUGUUUCCUGGUAACGGUAACCCGGUGACAUAGAAUGCUUUGUGGGGGGCAGGCAUCAGCCAGGACCAGCAGCCUUCAGUCGGAAGCUGGUAGUGGUAGGAGGAGGAGCUCCGACUACUCUCAGAAGUGUGCCCUUGGCGCUUGCUCUGUUGCUUUUUUUUUUAUUUUAUUUUAUUUGUUGCUUUGUUUUGUGUUUUUCUUUUGUGUGUGUGUGUGUUGCUUUUUCUUAUUUUUCUUUUUCUUUUUUGUGUGUGUUGUUUUCCCCCUUGUAUAUCACCCAUGGGGAACUGCCUGCGCCCCAGCGCUGGCCUCAGUUGUACCUUCUGCGAGGCUUGUAGCCAGUCUGAGGAAUCCACCAUUCCAGAGCCUGCUGUGUUACAUCCCAGAGUGGCGGAGGUGCAGGACGUGCAGCCCGUAAAACCAAAGAGGCGCAAAGGUUUGGCUCGCCGUGUCAGGAGCUGGGUAGCCAAAAAAUGGAGACAAAAGAAAAGGUGCCCCAAUAAAAAUGAAGGUCCCGUUGAGGUCCUCCAGGACUGCGUCCAUGAAGACAUCAAGGACGAGGAGCUCCUGGCGGAGGCGUCAUGUGAGGAUCACCACCGUCCUGUUGAGGUCCUCCAGGACUGCGUCCAUGAAGACAUCGAGGACGAGGAGCCCCUGGCGGAUGCUGCACGUGAGGAUCACCACCGUCCUGUUGAGGUCCUCCAGGACUGCGUCCUUGAAGACAUCGAGGAUGAGGAGCCCCUGGAGUGGUCUGUGGGCUACUAUUACCAUUGUCCUAUUGUGGCCCUCCAGGAGUGCGUCCAUGAAGACAUUAAGGACGAGGAGCCCGUGGCGGAUGCGUCACGUGAGGAUCACCACCGUCCUGUUGAGGUCCUCCAGGACUGCGUCCUUGAAGACAUCGAGGACGAGGAGCCCCUGGUGAGAUGCAUUUGUUCAUCUUGA
ensembl:lncRNA